UUUUGCCUCAGCUCUUCCAGUAAUUGCAUUUGGAAAGCAAAUAAGCAGAGAUACUGGUACACUUUUUAAAUUAAGUUUGGGUAGAAAAACCCUGAAGCUUGGCUUGUUAUCAACUAUCAAAGUGAUCAUGACCACACAAAACAUUAUUUCUGUUUAUAAAGGAUUACAAGUUCUGUACUGAUUUAUUGCUUAAAAUUGUAGAUGGGAGCCUAAGAACAGUAGAACUUUGCUAUCAACUGCAAUUUGUGGUAAUGUAUAAUACACUUUAUAUUUGGUGGAUAAGCCUCCUUAUUGUACAUAUAUGAUGGCACUUAUAUAUGUGCAAUUGCAGUCUAACUUAAAAGUGUUCUUAUAUACUUCUAAUUUAUUUUAUUUCCAUUUUUUAGCAUUAAGUUUUGUUGCAUCAGCAUCUUAGUUUAUGGGGACAUGAGAUUUGUUUGUUUGAACUUUGAAAUUCAGUUGUAUUUUUCCUUUCGACAAUGUUAUAUUUUGGUAGUCGCUUUUUCUCCCUUUGAUAUUUCAACUUAUGUAAAUAUCCCGAGUGUAUGGCUGUUAGAGCAAUCAUAUAGUGAUUGACUAUGAACUUAAAAAAAUGGCAUAUUUCUACAGAAUGAUUCAUGAUAUGCGCAUAAAAGAUGGAAAAGCAACAUAUGUCUUCCUAUUGUUAUUGUUAUCAUUGAUGUUGCUUUGAAACUUCUGCAUUUAGUUUGGGUGUGUUAGAAUAGUUGAAUUGGAUUUGUUUCUAAAAUAAGCUAUUCAUAAAGAGUGGGAUAUUUCCUAAUUUUUCUGUCUAUUUUUAGGAUGAUAGGAUGGUUUACUGUUAAGCUUUCUAGAAGUCAAUUCUUACAUUGUAUUUAUCUUUGUAAUUUCUACUUGGAACAGAAUUAGGUUUCAGUCUUCCCAAAUUUCACUUGGUAUCAAAGCCAUACUAGUUUUGUUUAUAAAGGAUUACAAGUUUUUUCCUGCCAUUUAUAGCAUUUGCAAUAUUUGAGUAAUCAUCUUGGAAUAUUUUCCAACAGGAGGGUACAUCACCCUUGAACCUAUAUGUUCAAGAUGAAUUUCAUCGUUCUGCACAAGCGGGGGUUGGAGGUGUCAAAAGCAUUACAAAUUAUGAUCCGGUAGAAUAUGUGCUGGAUGAUCAUAAUAACCUCGUAGUUUCCUCUUUCACUUGUUUGACAUUUAUUGCUUUGUAGAAGAUUUUAUUGCUUUAAUACGUUAACAACUUUUGUAGGUUUUGAAAUCAUUAAACAGAGCAUGGAACAGACUUCUCUGAUGUCUUAUACCUUGAUUCUAUGAAUAAGAGAUAUACUGAAGAGGCCUUUUCUUGUUCUGUCUUCAUUUUGAAGGUAGUUAGCUAAUCCACUUGUAUGGAGAAAUUUUCUUUCUACGCCAACAACCAAUGACUUUAUUCUUAAAGCUCAAAGAAUUUUUCCCAAAUGUUCCUGGUUGGCGAAUGUCCUAUUCCAUUUGAAGAAUUACUUGAUGCUAACGAAGUUUUCUGUGUAGGUUAUUUUACUCAUAACUUUAUUCUUAAAUAGGUUUGAAGCACAUCUCUCAAUACGCAGCAUCUUUUCUAGGUGUGGGUGUUGCAUGGAGGACUGCAAAUGCCGAAUCAGGAUCAACGAUUGUCAUCUUCGAGUUAGGAGCAAUAGGAUUAGUUUUAUGAUCUUCUACCUGAUAGAAUAGGAGGAUUUGCUGCCUAUCUAAUUCAUGAGGAUAAAGAGUUCUAUUUUUU
rnacentral:lncRNA from 1 species